AGUGAACGCUGGCGGUAGGCCUAACACAUGCAAGUCGAGCGGCAGCACAGUAAGAGCUUGCUCUUACGGGUGGCGAGUGGCGGACGGGUGAGGAAUACAUCGGAAUCUACUUUUUCGUGGGGGAUAACGUAGGGAAACUUACGCUAAUACCGCAUACGACCUACGGGUGAAAGCAGGGGAUCUUCGGACCUUGCGCGAUUGAAUGAGCCGAUGUCGGAUUAGCUAGUUGGCGGGGUAAAGGCCCACCAAGGCGACGAUCCGUAGCUGGUCUGGGAGGAUGAUCAGCCACACUGGAACUGAGACACGGUCCAGACUCCUACGGGAGGCAGCAGUGGGGAAUAUUGGACAAUGGGCGCAAGCCUGACCCAGCCAUACCGCGUGGGUGAAGAAGGCCUUCGGGUUGUAAAGCCCUUUUGUUGGGAAAGAAAAGCAGCAGGUUAAUACCCCGCUGUUCUGACGGUACCCAAAGAAUAAGCACCGGCUAACUUCGUG
rnacentral:rRNA from 1 species